AAUGAAGAACGCAGCGAAAUGCGAUAAGUAAUGUGAAUUGCAGAAUUCAGUGAAUCAUCGAAUCUUUGAACGCACAUUGCGCCCGCCAGUAUUCUGGCGGGCAUGCCUGUUCGAGCGUCAUUUCAACCCUCAAGCCCCAGCGGCUUGGUGUUGGGGACCGGCCCCGGCCGCCCCCCAAAUGCAGUGGCGACCUCGCCGCAGCCUCCCCUGCGUAGUAGCACAACUCGCACCGGAGCGCGGAGACGGUCACGCCGUAAAACGCCCAACUUCUCAGAGUUGACCUCGGAUCAGGUAGGAAUACCCGCUGAACUUAAGCAUAUCAAUAAGCGGAGGAA
rnacentral:rRNA from 1 species